CCUACGGGUGGCUGCAGUGGGGAAUAUUGGACAAUGGGGGAAACCCUGAUCCAGCAAUGCCGCGUGUGUGAAGAAGGCCUGCGGGUUGUAAAGCACUUUCGGUUGGGAAGAAAAGUUUGGCGCCAAUACCGCCGAACCUUGACGUUACUGACAGAAGAAGCACCGGCUAACUCUGUGCCAGCAGCCGCGGUAAUACAGCGGGUGCAAGCGUUGAUCGGAAUGACUGGGUGGAAAGGGAAGGCAGGUGGUAAGUCCCCGGGCUUAACCUGGGAACUGCAUUCGAUACUACAUGGCUAGAGGAUGGUAGAGGGAAGUGGAAUUUCCGGUGUAGCGGUGAAAUGCGUAGAUAUCGGAAGGAACACCAAUGGCGAAGGCAGCUUCCUGGACUAAUACUGACACUGAGGCACGAAAGCGUGGGUAGCAAACAGGAUUAGAUACCCCUGUAGUC
rnacentral:rRNA from 1 species